GGGUAGGUGUCUGAGCGGUCUAAAGAGACGGUCUUGAAAACCGUUGAGGUGCAAGCCUCCGCGAGUUCGAAUCUCGCCUUACCCGCCU
rnacentral:tRNA from 14 species